GGUAUAUUUCUCAGAUGAGGUCUCUCUUCUGUUUUUGCUUUUCUGUCACAGGAUUUGAAUUUCUGAUCUCUCUGUGUAUGUUUGUCCAAGAAGCGAGGGGUCUUCCAUUUGGGGUUAUAUGUCCCCAUUUGUUCGAUCCCUGGCCUCACUCAGUGGGUGAAGUAUCUGGCAUUGCUGUGAGCUGUGGUGUAGGCCACAGACAUGGCUCGGAUUUGGGGUGCCUGUGGCUGUGGUGUAGGCCGGCACCUAUAGCGCUGAUUCGACCCCUAGCCCAGGAACCUCUACAUACCGCAGGUGCAGCCCUAAAAAGAGAAAAAGAAAAAAGAAUGUAUACAUAUGGGUAGGACUCAGUCACUUUGCUGUACAACAGAAAUUGACAUAACAUUGUAAAUCAAAACUAUACUUUAAAAAAAGAGGUCCUUUGUAGAUGCGAUUGGAGUUCCCUGGUGGCUCAGUAGGUUAAGGAUCUGGUUUAUCACUGCUAUGGCUUGGGUUGCUGCUGUGGCGCAGGUUCAGCCCAUGGCCCUGGAAGUUCCAUACGCUGCAGGUGUGGCCAAAAGAAAAACGUCCUUUGUAGUUGUGAUUAAGCAAAUCACCUUGAGAUGGAGGAGAUUAUCCUGAAUUUUUCAGGUGAGCAGAGUGUAAUGACAAAAGUCCUUGCAGAAGGCAGGAUAGUCAAAGAAGCAGAUGUGAUGACCAAAAUAGAGAUCAGAAAGAGAUGUGAGGAGUUCCCGUUGUGGCGCAGUGGUUAACGAAUCCGACUAGGAACCAUGAGGUUGCGGGUUCGGUCCCUGCCCUUGCUCAGUGGGUUAACGAUCUGGCGUUGCCGUGAACUGUGGUGUAGGUUGCAGACACGGCUCGGAUCCUGAGUUGCUGUGGCUCUGGCGUAGGCCGGUGGCUACAGCUCCGAUUCAACCCCUAGCCUGGGAACCUCCAUAUGCCGCGGGAGCGGCCCAAGAAAUAGCAACAACAACAACAACAAAACAACAACAACAACAAAAAAAAAAAAAAAGAGAUGUGAGAGCGAAACACUGCCAGUUUUGAAGAUGGAGGAAGGGGCCAGGAGCUAAGGAUUGCAGGCAGCUUUAGAAACUGGAAAAGACAGAGUUCCCAUCAUGGCUCAGGGGUUAACGAAUCUGACUAGGAACCAUUGAGGUUGUGGGUUCGAUCCCUGACCUCGCUCAGUGGGUGAAGGAUCCAGCGUUGCCGUGAGCUGUGGUGUAGGUCGCAGACACAGCUUGGAUCUGGCGUUGCUGUGGCUGUGGUGUAGGCUGGUGGCUGCAUCUCCGAUUAGACCCCUAGACUGGGAACCUCCAUGUGCUCCAGGAAAGACAG
rnacentral:lncRNA from 1 species